UACAGAGGGUGCGAGCGUUAAUCGGAAUUACUGGGCGUAAAGCGUGCGUAGACGGUUAUUUAAGUCGGAUGUGAAAGCCCCCGGCUCAACUGGGGAGGGUCACUCGAUACUGAUCGACUUGAAGGCAGGAGAGGGAAGCGGAAUUCCCGGUGUAGUGGUGAAAUGCGUAGAUAUCGGGAGGAACACCAGUGGCGAAGGCGGCUUCCUGGCCUGUUCUUGACGCUGAGGGGCGAAAGCUAGGGGAGCAAACGGG
rnacentral:rRNA from 1 species